rnacentral:lncRNA from 1 species
UAAAGGCUUAGUAAGCCAUAUACAAAUAAAAUUACCACAUGAAUCAACACCAUUUCCAUCAAAUAGGAAAAUUAUGAAUAAGCACAUAUAAGUUUACAAACCUUUCCCACUGUAUACACAUUCAAUGUCACAUGUGAAUUCAUCAAAUACUUCCCUUUUCAAUACUUAUGUGAAUCUCGUACGUAGCUAAAUCACUUAACUCGUUCAUAUAUUCUUUCUC